ACGUACGAUCAUCCACUCAGAACUUAAAAGAAACUGAACACUUGCAGAUCUAAAAGAACUACCUGGACCGAAAAAGAUGAAUCUGAGAUCAGCAUGGCAAGGCUGAGACAUCUCUCUGAGAUGGACCCACCAGGCUAAGAAGAUUCAGUUCUGUUGCGUCUGCUUUCACUUUGUAUAAUUUACUGGUUUUAACACUGUAGUCCGAUGUGCAUUCUCUGUUAAUAAAUCUGUUUCUUCUCUAAAUAUAAUAAGUUCUCUCUGCCGAGCUCUGUCUGCUAAAUCUAGCAACAAAACAAGAUCAGCAAUUUCUCACCAUUUAAAAUACAGGGUGUAAUGACUGUGGAUUGUUGAGAGUAAUCUUGUUUGAUUUAUUGUUGUUAUUAAUAUGUUGUAUUUUUUGUAUUGUGUAUUGAGUAAUGUAUUUGUAUAAUGUAAUUCUUUAAUUAAAUAAUUAAUUUAA